rnacentral:rRNA from 1 species
UAGCCUGGUAGCAAUACUAGGUUGAGCCAGUGGCGAACGGGUGCGUAACACGUGAGUCAUCUGCCUGAAAGUGGGGGAUAGCUCGCCGAAAGGCGAAUUAAUACCGCAUGUGCCCGAAGCAAUUUGGGGUAAAGCCGGGGCGACCUGGCGCUUUUAGAUGAGCUCGCGGCCUAUCAGCUUGUUGGUAAGGUAACGGCUUACCAAGGCUUCGACGGGUAGCUGGUCUGAGAGGACGACCAGCCACACUGGAACUGAGACACGGUCCAGACACCUACGGGUGGCAGCAGUCGAGAAUUUUUCUCAAUGGGGGAAACCCUGAAGGAGCGACGCCGCGUGGAGGAUGAAGGCUUUCGGGUUGUAAACUCCUGUCAUUUGGGAACAAUACCUUACGUUAACUGCGUGGAGGUUUGAUAGUACCAGAAGAGGAAGAGACGGCUAACUCUGUGCCAGCAGCCGCGGUAAUACAGAGGUCUCGAGCGUUGUUCGGAUUCAUUGGGCGUAAAGGGCGCGUAGGCUGCGGGGCAAGUCGGGUGUGAAAUCUCAGAGCUCAACUCUGAAACUGCACUCGAUACUGCUUUGCUAGAGGACUGGAGAGGAGAUUGGAAUUCACGGUGUAGCA